rnacentral:rRNA from 1 species
CUGGCUCAGACGAACGGCUGGCGGCAUGGAUUAGGCAUGCAAGUCGAACGGGAGCAGCAAUGCUCCAGUGGCGCAAGGGUGAGGAACACGUGAACAACCUGCCUUCGAGUUGGGGAUAGCUUCUGGAAACGGGAGAUAAUACCGAAUAACAUCGCCGGAUCGCAUGAUCUGGUGAUCAAAGCAGCAAUGCGCUUGAAGAGGGGUUCGCGUCCCAUUAGCUAGUUGGUGAGGUAACGGCCCACCAAGGCGAUGAUGGGUAGCUGGUCUGAGAGGACGAUCAGCCACAUUGGGACUGAGAUACUGCCCAGACUCCUACGGGAGGCUGCAGUCGAGAAUUUUGGGCAAUGGACGAAAGUCUGACCCAGCAAUGCCGCGUGCGGGAUGAAGGUCUUCGGAUUGUAAACCGCUGUCAAGAGGGACGAAAUUUGACGGUACCUCUGGAGGAAGCCACGGCUAACUACGUGCCAGCCGCCGC